rnacentral:lncRNA from 1 species
UCAGGUUCGGUUUUUCACUUUCUGGGUAACCCAGAUUUUUACUCGGUCAAGCCCGGUCAACGGGUUUUGACCGUUAAUAACUCCUGAUCCUGACAUAAAAUAGCUCUGAUUUCUUUUGCAGACUAAAGACCAUAUACCAGGCUAUAACUUAAAGCUUUUAAAUAACAAAAACAACAAACGAGUAACGAUCUGUGGCGCCUGACAUUAGGUUGUCAGACCACAGAUUUUGUUCUUGAACAGUUUUAGAAAAACGUACUUUUACUCACUUUGGUGCUAUGGAUCCAUCAUGGAUCAUCAUAUAACCACUAAAAACAUCUUCUAGCAAU